GAAAAACAAAACAACUGAAGUGAAUAUACUUCUUAGCAAGGUGACACACAGUCGCUGUUCCAAUACACAGCCUGGUGAGUUUGGAGAAAAUGGAAGUGAAAGCAUCAGAGAAAGACAGGGAUAACAACUCACGUUUAUUGUUUACCUACUAUGUGCAAAGUACUUUCAACAUCUCAACUAAAAGACAACCAGAGCCCUGUGCUGAGUACCUGUGAUGCUUAAGCCACUCAAGCCUCACAAUAACCCUUGAGGUAACGGAACCAAAACUCAGAGAGGUUAAGUGAUGUACCCAAUAUCCACCCGGUUGUAGAAGGAACUCACACCCAAGGUUGCCUAACUCCAGUUUCUAUGCACUGUGCAUUCUGCAGAGGAUGAGCAGACACCAAACCAAGGUCAACUUCCCUCUGGAAAAAUUGGCAGUGGCUGCAGGCUGGCCUGCUGCAUAUUCAUUGCUUUGGGCCUCAUCUAGGAAUACCUGCUGCUGACUUCAGCCUCUGAUCUAAAUCCCCUCUCAGCUUCCAGUUCCACCCAGCACCAAAUGAUGCUAGGAGGCCUACGCCCUAGCAGCAGGUGGAGGUCAGUGUUUACAGAAGGAAGGAUUAACUUCAAGACCCAGUGGGGUGCCCCUGGAUAUAAUCCCUGCUUCCUACAAAGCUGGGAGUCUACAUGCUGUUUAGGACAAGGAGUGCCCAGUGGGGUGUGGACCGAGGAGUUGAUCCACAGGCUGUGUUUUCAAUAAUAGGAAGAGUGAUCAAAGCUGGCAUCCUGGAGUGCCCAUCCCAUGCUGAGCCUUGGUCAAGGGGCAUCACAUAUGUUAUUUGACUUAAUCCUCAUGACAACCCCAGAAGGUGGGGCUUAUUGCAUUUACUUUGCAGAUGAAGGAACUCAAGCUCAGCUGAUCAAUGCAAUAUGCUGUGCAAGUCUGUGGGACUCCGAAGUCGAUGCUCUUUUACCUACUGGGCUCAGGAAUGCAGUCUCCAGGUGUCAAACCUAGAUCUUUAUCCUCUUCAGCUUGAGAUGGUGCAAAAGCUACUAUCUCAGGUGUUUGAAAUGACUCAACAGAGCUGGUUGAAAAUAAACAUUUCAGGCAAAAAAUAGUUAGAUCUGUAUGGCAUCAAACAAGCAGUCUGACAGUCACCAUUCAUUCAUUCAUCUAUUCAUUCAUCCAUCCGACCAUCCAUUCAUCCAAAGAUCUAUCCAUCCAUCCAAUGAAUGAAUUAUUCAUUUAAAGAAAUAAUCAUCAUUGCCUGAGUGUACCCUGUGAGCCAGGCCCUAUAAUAAUUCUGGGGAGGGAAAGCACAAAAAUAACUAAGAUCCAGUCUCUGUUCAUUUGCAGGAGUUAACAUUGGAGCAAUGUGAUGUCUCUGAGUGUGUUGAUGGGAGUAAGCUAUGGAAAAGAAGGCAGAGGAAGACCCAGGCCAAAGGACCACUCAAGGCCAGGGAGCAGAUGUGUCAUCUAACUGGACAUUGAUGAGUCUGUGUCCCUUGAUAGUCUCCAUUUUUUUUCCUCCAGCCCACUACCCUUACUGAUGCCAAAGCUGUCCUUCUCCAAAAUUUGGGUCAGGGAAUAGAUGUCACAAGCUGGUACAACACAGGUAAUGUGUGAAUUUGUGAAGCAUUCUCAAUCUGAGCUGUCCUUCUGCAAGGGGUGUGCACUAGGAGGUACUGGGUGCACUGGGGCUGUUCAAGGAGACCCUGAUGACCGUCUCCAAGGGACAAGAUUUUCUCCUUCAACAAACUUCGGCUAGCAUCCUCUGAGCUCAAUUUUUCAGUAGGCUUGCCUUGGGGCUCUGUCCUUGACCCAUUUAGUCUAGUUUUAGCAAGAAUCCUGCUUGGUCAGUUUAGUGAAAAUCCUCCACCCUUGAUAUGUGAUCAAAUUCCUUAUCCCCCAUCCUUGAUAUCCAAUCACCCUGUCCUACGCUCAACAAGAAUCCUGCUGAGUCCAUUUAGCCAGAAUCCCCCUUAUUCAUGAUCCUUCAUUGACCCCUCACCUUGCUCCUUGGCCACAAAUCUCCACUUCUCUCUGCUGUAGCCAUAAUAAAGCCCAAUUCUACACUGAAGUCUCUCUUCCCCUAUUGCAAUAGUUCCCAAAUCAAAACUGUCUUCACCACUUCAACCUCUGUCCAGUUCUGGUUUCCUCGGACACACAGAUGCCAUAAAAGAAAGGUCCCCAGUGGAAAAGAAUAUUCAUUUGUUCAUUCAAAAACAUCACUAGACCUCAUGAACAUAGAGAGUAGAAGGAGGUUACCAGAGGCUGGGAAGGGUAGUGGUGGAGCUGUUGUGGGGGUAUGGUGGGGCUGUUGUGGGGAUAAGGUGGGGAUGGUUAAUGGGCACCAAAAAUAGUUAGAAAGAAUGAAAAAUACCUAGUAUUUGAGAGCACCAUAGAAUGACUAUAGUCAUGAUAAAUUAAUUGUACAUUUUAAAAUAGCUUAAAGAGGGUAAUUGGAUUGUUUGUAACUCGAAGGAUAAAUGCUUGAGGGGUUGGAUACCCCAUCCUCCACAAUGUGUAAUAAACAUAUUGCAUGCUUUUAUCAAAACAUCUCUUUUACCCCAUAAAUAUAUACACCUACUAUGUACCCACAAAAACUAAAAAUACCUUUUUAAAAAAUGUAUUACCAGAUGACACUUGCUCCAAAAAGCAGUGCGACCCAGCUGUUCUGUAUCUAAGGGGGUAAUAAAUAUCAUCUACAAAGUCCGUGGGCUGACUGUUAGUUCAAUGCUAUCAUCCUUAGAUCCCACAAUUUAUGAAUUGGCAAGAUAUUAAGUCUUGCUUUGCUUCAGUCUCCUCAUCUGUAAAAUAAGCCUAACCACAGCAUUGCUGCACAGAGCCAUGGAAGUCAGGUCAGGUGAUGAGCGUCAG